rfam:Fonticula alba strain ATCC 38817 mitochondrial scaffold supercont2.211, whole genome shotgun sequence.
GCAUGAUUAGCUCAGUUGGUAGAGCAUUUCGUUUACACCGAACGGGUCACGGGUUCGAGUCCUGUAUUGUGCA